GUUAUUUUUCAAAGUGGAAAUUUUUAACAAGGAGCGCAUCCUGGAUAUUGCAAAUAAAAAAUAAUAACUGUUAUGAAAUACCAAAAUGAACAAAAUCAUGUAUUUUGUACAUUUACACUCUAUAUUUUCAACUAAUCUCUGAAUCGAUAUAAAUAAUAGACAAAACUAGAAGUAGUAAAAACGAUAUAAACACACAAGGCGGAAGAAAAACAACAAUAAAAGGGAAAUAAAACAGCUCACACUAAACCACUGCUAUAAAUAUCUCCGGCAACAUUGGAUUAAAGAGUCACAUUUCUUUACCUCUGUUGAGACGUAGAAGGAAUUUCCUUCUCUGCCACGUUUUGGUUUUUUGAUCUCUGUUUAGAAAGAAGAAAACCAACAUCAGUAAUGGCAUAAAACAAACAUUCCAAGGGAGGCUCUACAUGAAAAGUGUCCAGUUAGAAAAUUUGGUAUUAUUUUAGAUUAUUUAUCAAUUUAGUGAGCUAUCGACUCAUGAAGUGGACCGAUAUGAAUAUGUUUAAAUAAAUUAAAAACAAUUUAUUCAUGCCUCAAUUUGAGUUUUAAAGUUUAUGGUAUGAAAUACAAAAUACUUCAUUUGGUUCAAAAUUCAGUUUUUACAAAAAUCAUCUAUGAAGCUCCAUUAAAAGCUUCAAAAUGCUUAUUUACUGUAAGAAAAUAUACAGAGAAAUGUGCUACAAGUCUCGUCAAACUUACCUUUCUGAGAAAAAAGCGUUUGAACAUCUUUGAACCUAAUUUGAUCGCAGUGAAAAUCUUCUGUGCUAUGCAAAAGUUCAACUGAAAACAAGUUCAAUAGUUGUAUAUUUAUAAGCUUUCAGCAUAGAAUGUUCAUACCCUGAACAUGUGUCAUCAUAAUGUAUGGGGCUAGUUUGCAUAUUUUGGAAUGUAUGCUCAUUGGAACUGUGUGGUACUCGUCUCCAAGCAACCCCACUGUACAUGCUUGAAAUGUACAGUGCAAUGUGCAAAAAAUUGCAAAAAUAAACAAGACAAGACAGUGCAAUGGAUAUGUGCAAAAUGCUGAGUAUUGUGCAAAAGUAACUUGGUGUGUGUGUGUGUGUGUGUGUGUGUGUGUGUGUCAGGGCGAUAUGACCAAAAAUAUUUAUCACGAUAUACAUUUGAAAAUUUGCGAUAACGAUAUAACUGACGAUAUAACUGACACUAGACAAAAUACUUUACAAC
ensembl:lncRNA